rnacentral:rRNA from 1 species
UACGUAGGGUGCGAGCGUUGUCCGGAAUUAUUGGGCGUAAAGGGCUCGUAGGCGGUUUGUCGCGUCGGGAGUGAAAUCCACUGGCUUAACUGGUGGCUUGCUUUCGAUACGGGCAGACUGGAGGUAUGCAGGGGAGAACGGAAUUCCCGGUGUAGUGGUGAAAUGCGUAGAGAUCGGGAGGAACACCAGUGGCGAAGGCGGCUCGCUGGGCCGGUCCUGACACUGAGACGCGAAGGCGUGGGGAGCGAACGGG